CGGCGGCAGAGAUCGCGUAGCCUCCACCCGCGCUCGCAUCACCGUCGGACCUACUGGCACUGCCACUGUCACUACCUUCGUUGCUCAGGCUAAAAAAGUAGCGGUUCGUGGUUGGCUGGUUUGCCGCCAUAGGAUAGCAGAGUAGCAGACGCGGGUUGAGGGCUUGCGGCGCCGCUGGUUUAUGCGGGUUGGCCGCAUAGCGCCGCUAAAAUGAUGUGGAUCAUGAUGCAGGUUCUGGUAGACUUGCAGCGCCUGCUGUCCCAGCAGGCUCGCGGCUCAACCCGGCCACUUGCAUCCCUACCCGUGAUGUAUCGAUCACGAGUUGAUAUUUUCUCACUUCUAGAGGACUCGCUGAAGCGGGAGUCUGGCGCGAAGGUUCACAAAGCCAACAUCCAGGCGGCCAAGGCUGUUGCUGACAUCAUUCGCACUACAUUGGGUCCCAGAUCCAUGCUGAAAAUGCUUCUGGACGCUGGACGCUGAUGGCCUUUUAUUUAAUAAAUUUGUAAAUUAUAUCCAACCAGUUCAUCAGAUCGUGGCCUUUUAUUUAGAUCUAAGAACACCAACACGCUUAGGCAUUUAGUUGGAUAUAAUUCAUAUGUUGUACCCAAGAAAGCAGCACUUACCGAUGAACUAUAUCUUAUCAGUCGUGUAAACGGAAUGAAAUAUAACAAAAUUGUUUUUAUUAUCUGCACAUUCCCAUUAUAUUUUGUAGCAUAUAACCACAAGGUCACAACCAAUUUGUAUGAUUUAAUUGGCGUAUGAAUCCGAGAUGAGUGUUUCAUAUGAUUUUUUUUACAGACUAUGUACACAAGCAUUUCAUGAAGAAAUUAUUUACUUGACUCGAUAAGUUCCAGGUUCCUGCUUUUGACAUUUAUUUUCUUGGUCAUCAACAUGCGAAGCUUUACAUGUCUUCAUGUCAGUGGUCAUCAAAUUUUCUCCAGUACUGCCUUGAGUAGCUGCAGUGGUGACCACACAAGUGAACGAGAUGCAAAGAAGGCAGGUAAGCUACUGCAAAUUUAUACAAUAAUUUAUUGUCAAGAAACGGACGCUAGAUUACUGUGCCGGAUAGAUCUUAGCAGGUAAACAGUAGGAGAACUGAUGUAAAUGAGAAGACAAAGUUCUUCACGUGAGUUUUUUGUUCUUCAGGUGAGAAGACAAAGUUCUUCAGAUAAACAGUAGGAGUAUAACCAGGGAGUGUGGAUUUUCUUAAUCUAAAUGGAAAAGAGGGGAUAUGGUACUUUAGAAUUUGGUUUUCGGUGAAACUAUAAAUUCCAUUGGCAUGCUUGAUUUAAUGUUCACUUAAAUUGCCUAGAUCCUUAUCCACUUGUCCUCAUGGAAGCCUCUCAACCCUCAAAUGUUUGUCUUUGCUGAUUUAUUUGUUUAGGCAGCCCUCAUUUAGCUGCACCUUUUCCUAUUAAGGAAAAAAAGAAGCUUUGCGUUCAAUUUCUCCUAGAAUCUUUCUGUGAUACCAGCUGAUUUUUUUAUUCUCUUAUUUGGAACGUUAUGACAACAAGAAGCCACUAGAAAGAAUAAAGGAACAGAAUGCAGUGACACCACCGCUCCAUCAUGUAGGUGUUAUUACAAAUGUUAGUACUAACCUUUUAUGUUUAUAUUUGAUCAAACCUAAAAUGGCUAACUCAUUAAAGAAUGAGAAAUGACAAACUUUUGUGUUAGAGGGAGUAGAUAAUGGUCAUCUGUGCAAGCUAAUCUGCAGUAGUAGUCACCAGCCGAUGAUCAUGUGUUUCUCUGAAUUCUGAAACCUAAUCCUGCUUCAAAAUGGCAUAUAUAAUUCCUGGUCCUCUCGAAAAGGCAAUACAACCUGAGCUUGUGAUCUUGUUUUAGGAGUAGAUAAUGGUAUAUAAUUCAAGAUGUUAAGUAUAUAUAAACAGGAAUCGUAUAUGAACCCAGUUUCUCUGCAUUCUGAAACCUAAUCCUGAGAUGAUGUGAUUGUGAUCCACUGACUGGAGGAUCCAUGCAAAUCUCAGUGUCACCUUCUCCAGCAGGCAACAACUGACUGUUUGUUGGUGUGCAGUGUUCUUCAAACUAUUCAGCAACUAAACUGUUCAAACAUGUUACUGAAGAUUGGCAGCUGAAACAAAUGAUCACCGGCUGAACAUGGUAGGCGUGAAAAAUAAGAUCACCGACUGAACAGUUUAUGAUCACCAGCUGAAACACAAGAUCUGGGAGGCGUUGAACAUGGUAGCUGAACUCUUCAAACAUGUUAGGCAACAGCAGGCAACAACAGUGAAACACAAUCACCGACUGAAAAGCUGUCCGGCACCUGAACUGAUCAAAUUUGGUUGCCUGGUGGAGGGAGGUCUAACGGCUGACGCUGCUAUUCAAUUAUUUUUUACUUUAGUUUGUAUCCUCCUUACAGAUGUUGGAUGAAAGCAAACCUUCAUUUUUUUUGUUUAGCAGGCCUACUAAAACAAGCUUAGUGAACCUGGGUGAACAAAAUGCACUGAUUCAAAAUUUUAUUUGCAUUUAUUGCAUUUAGCUUGCCUUGAUGACCCUGUCAUUCUAAUCACAGUCUUGGGCAUUUUAUUUGUGUCGGAAUCCAAACUUACAAAUUUUUAACACAAAUUCUUUGAAGGUGUAUGGUCUGGAUAUAAACCCAAGAGUUGUUCUGGUAGGGCGCCCGAACGGGUGCCUCCUGUUCUAGUCAAACUUUAACAUGGCGGGGCUGAGCAGGGGCAUCGGCGAAUUCCAGCAGGCCAUGGUCAGCAAGGUUGCGGUGUAGAGCAGCAAGGCACGUAGAGCAGCAAGGCACAACAUAGAUGAAGACGAAUGCGUGGCAUGGAAGAACGACUUCGGCACCGGCGAGGCACAGCAGCAGGGCGAACUUCGCGGCGUCGCGGUACAGAAGUUAGCGUUGAAAUGAUGAGCAGGCCGCGUGUCGACGAAGCAGGUGAAGUCUGGUGAGCGAUGGCAAUGAUGCGGCGUGACGCCGCAACACGAUGGCGAGCGGCUGCGCAGAAGGUGCUAGCUUGGCGUGGUGCGCAGCAGUGAGAACCGAGGGUAGCGCGGGGUUCUCGGCGCUGUACAGGGGCUUGGCUGCGGGAUAUGGCCAACGAACUGGAGCAGAAAAGGAGAGAAAGGGCUCUAGGAGCGGUUCCAUUUAUAGGUGGAGGAGGGAGCCGGGAGGUCGCCGGUUGAACUGAUGCCGAUUGAAGAUGAGAAACGGAGGAUUUAAAUGUCACUAAUGGAGAAAACGGUCGGCUCUAAUGGGGUAGUGAUUCGAACAGUAAAGAAGGGGACAGGAGAGGACGCGGCGCUUCGGCUGGCGGCGUGGGGCCAAGAAGCAGACGACUGCAGGAGCAGGAUGUGGACGACGGCGUGGGAGCUGGGUUGGCGGCGCACGCAGGAACGGCCAGCGCACACAGAGCAGAGGCUCAAACUUGAAGAUGCUCCUGACGAGUUGGGCCCACCUGGAGGACAGACGGGGAGAGUGGGGAAGGGAACGCACAGGCUGGAUCAUUUGGUUCCAGUGUUCGUCUUCUCUUUUUUUUUAAAAAAGAAAUUCUUCUAUUUUUUUGUUAGAC